rnacentral:pre_miRNA from 1 species
AGUGGAGUUCCUGGGUCACAUGGUAAGCUUAUAUUUGCUUUUUAAGAAACUGCAAAACUGUUUUCCAAAGUGGCUGAACCAUUUUACAUUUCCACCAGCAAU